rnacentral:rRNA from 1 species
GUAGGGUGCAAGCGUUAAUCGGAAUUACUGGGCGUAAAGCGUGCGCAGGCGGUUUUGUAAGUCUGUCGUGAAAGCCCCGGGCUCAACCUGGGAAUUGCGAUGGAGACUGCAAGGCUUGAAUCUGGCAGAGGGGGGUAGAAUUCCACGUGUAGCAGUGAAAUGCGUAGAGAUGUGGAGGAACACCGAUGGCGAAAGGCAGCCCCCUGGGUCAAGAUUGACGCUCAUGCACGAAAGCGUGGGGGGAGCAAACAGGAUUAGAUACCCUGGUAGUCCACGCCCUAAACGAUGUCUACUGGUUGUCGGGUUUUAAUUAACCUUGGUAACGCAGCUAACGCGUGAAGUAGACCGCCUGGGGAUACGGUCGCAAAGAUUAA